CCUACGGGCGGCAGCAGUGAGGAAUAUUGGUCAAUGGACGAGAGUCUGAACCAGCCAAGUAGCGUGAAGGAUGACUGCCCUAUGGGUUGUAAACUUCUUUUAUAUGGGAAUAAAACGUUCCACGUGUGGGAUUUUGUAUGUACCAUAUGAAUAAGGAUCGGCUAACUCCGUGCCAGCAGCCGCAGUAAUACGGAGGAUCCGAGCGUUAUCCGGAUUUAUUGGGUUUAAAGGGAGCGUAGGUGGAUUGUUAAGUCAGUUGUGAAAGUUUGCGGCUCAACCGUAAAAUUGCAGUUGAAACUGGCAGUCUUGAGUACAGUAGAGGUGGGCGGAAUUCGUGGUGUAGCGGUGAAAUGCUUAGAUAUCACGAAGAACUCCGAUUGCGAAGGCAGUUCACUGGACUGCAACUGACACUGAGGCUCGAAAGUGUGGGUAUCAAACAGGAUUAGAUACCCGAGUAGUC
rnacentral:rRNA from 1 species